rnacentral:rRNA from 1 species
AUGAACGCUGGCGGCGUGCCUAAUACAUGCACGUCGAGCGAACAGACGAGGAGCUUGCUCCUCUGACGUUAGCGGCGGACGGGUGAGUAACACGUGGAUAACCUACCUAUAAGACUGGGAUAACUUCGGGAAACCGGAGCUAAUACCGGAUAAUAUAUUGAACCGCAUGGUUCAAUAGUGAAAGACGGUUUUGCUGUCACUUAUAGAUGGAUCCGCGCCGCAUUAGCUAGUUGGUAAGGUAACGGCUUACCAAGGCGACGAUGCGUAGCCGACCUGAGAGGGUGAUCGGCCACACUGGAACUGAGACACGGUGCAGACUCCUACGGGAGGCAGCAGUAGGGAAUCUUCCGCAAUGGGCGAAAGCCUGACGGAGCAACGCCGCGUGAGUGAUGAAGGUCUUCGGAUCGUAAAACUCUGUUAUUAGGGAAGAACAAAUGUGUAAGUAACUAUGCACGUCUUGACGGUACCUAAUCAGAAAGCCACGGCUAACUACGUG